ACUCCUCAUCUGUGUCCUCUCUCAUUUGUCAGAUACCUGCAUGGUGCCCAGUCACAUGGGCUGAAGGCCAAAGAUAAUAUGUUUGCUACUGCUUCUGUACACCUUGGAAAUAUCAGAGAACACCCUGACUGACUCACAAAGUUUCCUGGAAGCAGGGUAUGGACAGCAAAACACUGGGGGGCCCGAAACGGGAAGCAGGAAGGUGUCUAAAUCGAGAAAAGAGAGAAGAGCAUUAAGAGCAACUUGUAAUUUUGCCUGCAACUUUCCUUGAAUCUUUUACACUCUGUCU
rnacentral:lncRNA from 10 species